AGCCUCGGUGGCUCAGCCUGGCAGAGCGAGAGAUUUGUAAUCUCUAGGUCGAGGGUUCAAAUCCCUCCCGGGGCUUCCA
rnacentral:tRNA from 1 species